rnacentral:tRNA from 1 species
GGGAGAGUCGGCUAGCUUGGUUAGGCUUUGUCCUUGGGGUGGACAAGACGCGGGUUCAAAUCCCGCCUCGCCCA